UAGCUUAAAGAUUGUAUAUAUAGGGGAGAUCAGCGACUUCGCUUUGCCUUUCCUUCAUAUCAAAACCUUAACAGGUGUAUUUUUACAACUUUCCG